UACGUAGGGUGCGAGCGUUAAUCGGAAUUACUGGGCGUAAAGCGUGCGCAGGCGGUUUUGUAAGCCAGAUGUGAAAUCCCGGGGCUCAACCCCGGAAUUGCGCCCGAAACUGACGAGCUUGAGUGCGGGAGAGGGAAGCGGAAUUCCUGGUGUAGAGGUGAAAUUCGUAGAUAUCAGGAGGAACACCGGUGGCGAAAGCGGCUUCCUGGCCCGACACUGACGCUCAUGUACGAAAGCGUGGGGAGCAAACAGG
rnacentral:rRNA from 1 species